CUGAUCAUUUUUCAGGUUAUGUUUAGCAUGAUUGUAAGAAUGAGAUUAGGUUAUGUUUUAUCAACAAACUGAACAGUCAGGUUAAGAUGUAACAAAGUACAGUAGAUACAAAAUUAUUCAUAACUUGGUAGGUUUAUUCUUAUAAAUAAGCCCUUCUUUAGCAGAAGACUUAUCAAACACAAAGACAUAAUAUUGAUGAAUUCGUUUAAAACAGAAAGUUGAAACGAUUAAUAGUAUGAUUAGGCUAUUCAUCACUGUACCAGAGAAUAACAGGCUGAUUGAGCUAUUGUUGAAACUUUCUGCUGGGUCUAUCUUGCUAGUUUAUGGCUGGUGAUCACCGUAUCAAUUAUCAGGCACGAAAAUAUGUCACAAAGACCGCAGGGACAGUUCAUCGUGUGUGUUGUUCCUCAUUCUGCAAAGACAGUAGUGAACAUGUUAUCCUAUAGUUUGACACCGUACACAUCGUUUUACCAUUACCAUAGGUUAUCCCACUUCCAUUGUAUAAUUUUGUACAUUACAAAACAUGUGUGCUUUCGUGAAUAAUAAUGUAUUUAUGUAGAUUAACAAUUCAUUGUUACUUUCGCAAUUUUUCAUGUUUUGAAAAAAAAAUUAAAAAGUAUUAUAUACGGUACUUCAUUGGAUAAUUAUUUUAUAUUAUGUCAUUCUAUCAAUAUUUUGCAGUUGCAGAAAUUUCACAACCAUUUAUUUUAAUUUAUUUGAAAUAAGUAGGUAGUUGUGAUAAUUUCUAGUAUUUUUAUUUGAUAUGAAUAUCAUCUACCACAAUAUCACCUCCACUACUACACACAAAAUUUCAUCUGUCUCUGUCUUCUUGCGUUUUGAGAUGCAAAUAAUUUGAUCAGUCUGGUGGCACGUAGCCAGGAUUUGAUUUCGGGUGGGGGAAAUGAGAUUUGAUUGCCGUGGAGAUUCAACAAAAAAAUCAACUUACACCUAAAAUUAGCAUUUUCUGCGUAUUCUAAACUUUUUGGAGAACAGAUAAA
rnacentral:lncRNA from 1 species